AACGAUGUCAACUAGUUGUCGGGUCUUCAUUGACUUGGUAACGUAGCUAACGCGUGAAGUUGACCGCCUGGGGAGUACGGUCGCAAGAUUAAAACUCAAAGGAAUUGACGGGGACCCGCACAAGCGGUGGAUGAUGUGGAUUAAUUCGAUGCAACGCGAAAAACCUUACCUACCCUUGACAUGUAUGGAAUCCUGCUGAGAGGUGGGAGUGCCCGAAAGGGAGCCAUAACACAGGUGCUGCAUGGCUGUCGUCAGCUCGUGUCGUGAGAUGUUGGGUUAAGUCCCGCAACGAGCGCAACCCUUGUCCCUAGUUGCUACGCAAGAGCACUCUAGGGAGACUGCCGGUGACAAACCGGAGGAAGGUGGGGAUGACGUCAAGUCCUCAUGGCCCUUAUGGGUAGGGCUUCACACGUCAUACAAUGGUCGGAACAGAGGGUUGCCAAGCCGCGAGGUGGAGCCAAUCCCAGAAAACCGAUCGUAGUCCGGAUCGCAGUCUGCAACUCGACUGCGUGAAGCUGGAAUCGCUAGUAAUCGCGGAUCAGAAUGCCGCGGUGAAUACGUUCCCGGGCCUUGUACACACCGCCCGUCACACCAUGGGAGUGGGUUUUACCAGAAGU
rnacentral:rRNA from 1 species